CAACAAUGGACUGGGCAACUCUUGCAGGAGUGGCAGUGGGAGCAGUUGGAACAGUGGCAUUAGCCCCAGUUGUGUUAACAGCAGCGGGUUUCGCCGCUGGAGGCAUAACCGCAGGAUCCGUCGCCACAGCUGCUGGAGUCGCAGCAUCUUUAAUUGGAACCCAUUUUUGGACCCCUCCAGCGUAUGCCACUUGGGGCUCUUCUGAACAAUUCUACUGUCCAGAAAACACGAUCUGUCUUUAGAUUUGUUUGCGAGGAAGUGGAUCCUCUGAAGCUAGUUCAAUGCUAACAUGCUAACUUGAAUCUACAUGAAGGAAAACAUAUGCACUACUGCAAUUACCUCAGCAAUAAAAUGAUGAUAAAAAUGUU